CUUUAUUGGAGAGUUUGAUCCUGGCUCAGGAUGAACGCUGGCGGCGUGCCUAAUACAUGCAAGUCGAGCGAAUGGAUUGAGAGCUUGCUCUCAAGAAGUUAGCGGCGGACGGGUGAGUAACACGUGGGUAACCUGCCCAUAAGACUGGGAUAACUCCGGGAAACCG
rnacentral:rRNA from 2 species